GCCGCGAGGUGGAGCCCAAUCCCAAGAAACGCCGGUCUCAGUUCGGAUUGGAGUCUGCAACUCGACUCCAUGAAGUUGGAAUCGCUAGUAAUCGCGGAUCAGCAUGCCGCGGUGAAUACGUUCCCGGGCCUU
rnacentral:rRNA from 1 species